rnacentral:tRNA from 1 species
AGAGACUAAAGACAGCAAAUUGCUCGUCGGACGUCCGCACAAGUGACCUGCACUCAGAGUUCCUCGUUGCCACAGGGCGGCGUGGGACCGUCCCGUUUCGAUGGGGCUUUAGCUCAGCUGGGAGAGCACCUGCUUUGCAAGCAGGGGGUCGUCGGUUCGAUCCCGACAAGCUCCACCACCAGCCAGUCAGUCAGUACAUUGGGUCUGUAGCUCAGGUGGUUAGAGCGCACCCCUGAUAAGGGUGAGGCCGGUGGUUCGAGUCCUCCCAGACCCACCACCCUGACGGACGAGCGGUAAAACUCUGAAUUGCGCACACACAUAAAGAUUUGAAGCAUCGAAGGCGUUGAGGCCUACGGUGCGUUCUUUGAAAACUGGAAUGUAGCGAGCGUUUUGAGACGGAAUGUCCAUGACGUGUCGUAGAGGCUAAGGCGAGUGUCGAGAGACACUUUAUUAAUUGAGUCGUUAUAUUCGAGUUCGGGCUUUGUACCCCCGAACCCAAUGACUCCGAGGCAACUUGGGGUUAUAU